GGUAAAGUAUGGAGGGUAAUUACUGUUUAUAUAAAACUGACCUGGUAAAGUAUGGAGGGUAAUUACUGUUUAUAUAAAACUGACCUUCUGGUAAAGUAUGGAGGGUAAUUACUGUUUAUAUAAAGCUUACUUCACCAUCUGCUAUACCAUAAGUACAUUUUAAUACACCAUCACUGGUUAUGUGCCCACUGUGCCAGUCAGGCACAUUAUUUUACCUCUGUCUCUCAGGUCCAGAUUAUUGGGUGAGUCUCAGGUCCAGAUUAUUGGGUGAGUCUCACCAGGUCCAGAUUAUUGGGUGAGUCUCACCAGAUCCAGAUUAUUGGGUGAGUCUCUCGGGUCCAGAUUAUUGGGUGAGUCUCUCAGGUCCAGAUUAUUGGGUGAGUCUCUCAGGUCCAGAUUAUUGAAUUGAGUCCCUCCAGGUCCAGAUUAUUGUGUGAGUUUAUCGAGGUCCAGAUUAUUGGGUGAGUCUCUCAGGUCCAGAUUAUUGGGUGAGUCUCUCGGGUCCAGAUUAUUGUGUGAGUCUCUCAGGUCCAGAUUAUUGUGUGAGUCUCUCAGGUCAAGAUUAUUGUGUGAGUUUAUCCAGGUCCAGAUUAUUGGGUCAGUCUCUCAGGUCCAGAUUAUUGGGUGAGUCUCACCAGGUCCAGAUUAUUGGGUGAGUCUCACCAGGUCCAGAUUAUUGGGUGAGUCUCACCAGGUCCUGAUUAUUGGGUGAGUCUCUCAGGUCCAGAUUAUUGGGAGAGUCUCUCAGGUCCAGAUUAUUGGGUGAGUCUCAGGUCCAGAUUAUUGGGUGAUUCUCUCAGGUCCAGAUUAUUGGGUGAGUCUCUCAGGUCCAGAUUAUUGGGUGAGUCUCACCAGGUCCAGAUCAUUGGGUCAGUCUCACCAGGUCCAGAUUAUUGGGUGUGUCUCUCGGGUCCAGAUUAUUGGGUGAGUCUCACCAGGUCCAGAUCAUUGGGUCAGUCUCACCAGGUCCAGAUUAUUGGGUGUGUCUCUCGGGUCCAGAUUAUUGGGUCAGUCUCUUAGGUCCAGGUUAUUAGGUCAUGCAGUCUCUCAAGACCAGAUUAUUGGGUCAGUUUUUCUGGUCGAGAUUAUUGGGUCACACUCCACUACAGUUUAAAGAAAUGUUAGAACUGUUUUGGUGUGAAUCAUCCCUAGAGCAAGGGGAUUUGAUACUGUAUCAAUGUAUAACUUAUACACGGGAAAAGUGGAUGAGGUAUAGGAGGAAAAAUGUAUAAAGUAUUCAAAAAUCUACUCAACUUUAGAUGAAAGGUUCAAAUAUUGUUGUAUUGAAUAUCUGUAGAAGAUACAAUAGGUAAGGCGACUAUUCCUUUAUUGUGUAUACAGAUGGAAUAUAUACUUGGGCAAAUUCUUUAACACACUAGGAUUGUACAAUGUAUAUUCUGUUGUUUUGGAAUUUAUUUAUAUUAAAAGUCCAAUCUUCAUAAUAUCAUGUAACAUUGAUGGCGGUACCCAGAACGUUUACAUUUUGUUCAUAGUUCUGUUUUGAAAUUUAGAUUUUUAGUUUGUUUACAAUUUUUUAGAAAGUACUUUUGGGAUCUCUCAAAUUACACACGUAGGUUCCACUUGGUCCCUGACAUUUUGGUUUGUUCAUCAAUAUUGUUAUAGUAUUAGCAUAUAUGGGUAUUGAAACUGUUUUAACAGUGAAAUAAGAUCGUAAUAUCCCUGAAUUAGGUAUUUGAUGUAGUGAUGAUAUGUACGAUAAGUCUAAUUACGGGAUAUCGACAAUAAAUUAAGACAAUGAUAUAUAUUAAGGCAAUAGUGAACAGUUUAUUCCACCCUUGUAAUCCAUAUCUAUGCAGAGAUGUUUUAAACCUGGAUGAGUAUGGUAACUGACAGAAAAUCAAAACUCCUCGUUUAUCAAUAGCAUUCCUGUUAGCCAGGCUGUAAUUAUUGUGUCCGUCGUUUUACAAUGAGUAAGAGAAGCUGGCCUUUUCCUCAAUAAUGUUGUUUUUAUUAUAAUUUCUGUGAUUAUAUUUUUGAAAUCAAUUUAUUUUGUCAAUUAUGCAUAACAAUAAAGUUAAAUAAAUAUUA